UUGCCUACGGCGGAUCAGCCCGCGCCCCGUAAAACGGGACGGCCCGCCGCAGGAACCACAAAACUCUGAUUUUAGUGUAACUUCUGAGUCUAAAAAACAAAUAAAUCAAAACUUUCAACAACGGAUCUCUUGGUUCUGGCAUCGAUGAAGAACGCAGCAAAAUGCGAUAAGUAAUGUGAAUUGCAGAAUUCAGUGAAUCAUCGAAUCUUUGAACGCACAUUGCGCCCGCCAGUAUUCUGGCGGGCAUGCCUGUUCGAGCGUCAUUUCAACCCUCAAGCCCCCGGGUUUGGUGUUGGGGAUCGGGCUGUACUCCAGCCCGGCCCCGAAAUCUAGUGGCGGUCUCGCUGCAGCCUCCAUUGCGUAGUAGCUAACACCUCGCAACUGGAACGCGGCGCGGCCAAGCCGUUAAACCCCCAACUUCUGAAUGUUGACCUCGGAUCAGGUAGGAAUA
rnacentral:rRNA from 1 species